rnacentral:rRNA from 1 species
UGCUCAGGACGAACGCUGGCGGCGUGCCUAAUACAUGCAAGUCGAACGAACUCUGGUAUUGAUUGGUGCUUGCAUCAUGAUUUACAUUUGAGUGAGUGGCGAACUGGUGAGUAACACGUGGGAAACCUGCCCAGAAGCGGGGGAUAACACCUGGAAACAGAUGCUAAUACCGCAUAACAACUUGGACCGCAUGGUCCGAGCUUGAAAGAUGGCUUCGGCUAUCACUUUUGGAUGGUCCCGCGGCGUAUUAGCUAGAUGGUGGGGUAACGGCUCACCAUGGCAAUGAUACGUAGCCGACCUGAGAGGGUAAUCGGCCACAUUGGGACUGAGACACGGCCCAAACUCCUACGGGAGGCAGCAGUAGGGAAUCUUCCACAAUGGACGAAAGUCUGAUGGAGCAACGCCGCGUGAGUGAAGAAGGGUUUCGGCUCGUAAAACUCUGUUGUUAAAGAAGAACAUAUCUGAGAGUAACUGUUCAGGUAUUGACGGUAUUUAACCAGAAAGCCACGGCUAACUACGUGCCAGCAGCCGCGGUAAUACGUAGGUGGCAAGCGUUGUCCGGAUUUAUUGGGCGUAAAGCGAGCGCAGGCGGUUUUUUAAGUCUGAUGUGAAAGCCUUCGGCUCAACCGAAGAAGUGCAUCGGAAACUGGGAAACUUGAGUGCAGAAGAGGACAGUGGAACUCCAUGUGUAGCGGUGAAAUGCGUAGAUAUAUGGAAGAACACCAGUGGCGAAGGCGGCUGUCUGGUCUGUAACUGACGCUGAGGCUCGAAAGUAUGGGUAGCAAACAGGAUUAGAUACCCUGGUAGUCCAUACCGUAAACGAUGAAUGCUAAGUGUUGGAGGGUUUCCGCCCUUCAGUGCUGCAGCUAACGCAUUAAGCAUUCCGCCUGGGGAGUACGGCCGCAAGGCUGAAACUCAAAGGAAUUGACGGGGGCCCGCACAAGCGGUGGAGCAUGUGGUUUAAUUCGAAGCUACGCGAAGAACCUUACCAGGUCUUGACAUACUAUGCAAAUCUAAGAGAUUAGACGUUCCCUUCGGGGACAUGGAUACAGGUGGUGCAUGGUUGUCGUCAGCUCGUGUCGUGAGAUGUUGGGUUAAGUCCCGCAACGAGCGCAACCCUUAUUAUCAGUUGCCAGCAUUAAGUUGGGCACUCUGGUGAGACUGCCGGUGACAAACCGGAGGAAGGUGGGGAUGACGUCAAAUCAUCAUGCCCCUUAUGACCUGGGCUACACACGUGCUACAAUGGAUGGUACAACGAGUUGCGAACUCGCGAGAGUAAGCUAAUCUCUUAAAGCCAUUCUCAGUUCGGAUUGUAGGCUGCAACUCGCCUACAUGAAGUCGGAAUCGCUAGUAAUCGCGGAUCAGCAUGCCGCGGUGAAUACGUUCCCGGGCCUUGUACACACCGCCCGUCACACCAUGAGAGUUUGUAACACCCAAAGUCGGUGGGGUAACCUUUUAGGAACCAGCCGCCUAAGUGGGACAGAUGAUUA